CAGUGCACCACACCGUCCACACUCCACACAACCAAACCUUAUCCCCCUCUUUUUUUUUCUUCUGCGUUCUGUCUCUGAGAACUGUGCGUGCGCUAGAUAGACCAUUAGACACAAAGAUUGAGUGAGAAAAAAUAGAGAGAUGAAGCUGAAAAAAGGGUUUCAAUUUCUGUGAAUAGACCAAGUGCGAGCCCAUAAUUAUUCUGAUUGAAUUGAUUCUGCACAAGAAGAAAGCUCAUACGGUCAUACCCAUUUGCUCUAUAAUGUGAUUGAUUCACAAGCUCCCGCCCUUCAGGGUUUAUUGUGGAGGUCAGCUUUGGGGUUUCUUCUAUUGAAUGCUUGUUUCUUCUAUUGCUUUGAUUUCGAUUGAGAACGAAUAUCUUGGAAAAAUCAAUUGUGAUAAGCUAAUUGAUCAGUUUGCAGGUAAGAAGGCAAGGAGAUGGAUUUUCAAAUGAAUAUCAAUCAACACUGCUAGAAUGUGUUAUUUUGAGGGUUUUAGAUCAAGCAUCUUUUUGUAAUCAUUUUUUGCUGCAAACUUUAUGUUUGUAUUGAAUAUUUAGCCUUGAUUUUACA